rnacentral:tRNA from 1 species
GGCGGCAUAGCCAAGUGGUAAGGCAAGGCUCUGCAAAAGCUUCACCCCCGGUUCAAAUCCGGGUGCCGCCUCCA